rnacentral:rRNA from 1 species
GACAGAGGGUGCAAACGUUGUUCGGAAUUACUGGGCGUAAAGCGCGUGUAGGCGGCUAAGUAAGUCGGGCGUGAAAUCCCACGGCUCAACCGUGGAAGUGCACUCGAAACUGCAUAGCUAGAGUCCUGGAGAGGAAGGUGGAAUGCUUGGUGUAGAGGUGAAAUUCGUAGAUAUCAAGCGGAACACCGGUGGCGAAGGCGGCAUCCUGGACCGGCAUUGACGCUGAGGCGCGAAAGCCAGGGGAGCAAACGGG